UAAAAGAAUGGAAGUUUAAAAAAAUUCUUUUUUAAAAUUAAAAAUUGAAUUUUUUUUAAUUUGUGAAUAAACAAUUAUAAAAAUUAAAGACAAGAAGACCCUAAGAAUUUGAAGAUCAAAUAAAUAAAAAAUUUAUUAUUUAUUUGAUCUUGAUUGGGGCGAUCAAAAAAUAUUAAUAACUUUUUAAAUUAAAAUGAUCUAUUAAUAAUAAACUAAUGAAAUAAAUACUCUAGGGAUAACAGCGUAAUAAUUUUUGAUAGAUCUUAUAGACAAAAUAGUUUGCGACCUCGAUGUUGGAUUAGGAUUCUUAUUUAAUGAAGAUGUUAAAUAAAGAAGUUUGUUCAACUUUUAAAUUCCUACAUGAUCUGAGUUUAGACCGAUGAGAAUCAGGUUGGAUUCUAUCUUAAUAAUUAAUGUUAUUUUAGCUAGUACGAAAGGAAUUCUAAAAAUUAAUUAUUAAGAUAAUCAACUUUAUUUGCAUCAAUUUUUGGAAAAAAAUUAAAGUGGCAGAGAAAAUGCAAGGAAUUUAAGCUUCCUUUAUGAAUUAAAUUCCUUUAAUAAUUUUAAAUUUUAUUUAUACUAGCAUUUUAUUAAUCAUAAUUUUUAUUAA
rnacentral:rRNA from 1 species